UACGUAGGGGGCAAGCGUUGUCCGGAUUUAUUGGGCGUAAAGCGCUCGCAGGUGGUUCGUCGCGUCGUGCGUGAAAGACCCCGGCUCAACUGGGGGGCGUCGUGCGAAACGGGCGGACUGGAGGCCAGUAGGGGGAUGCGGAAUUCCGGGUGUAGUGGUGGAAUGCGUGGAGAUCCGGAGGAACACCAGCGGCGAAGGCGGCAUCCUGGACUGGUCCUGACACUCAUGAGCGAAAGCGUGGGGAGCGAUCCGG
rnacentral:rRNA from 1 species